rnacentral:piRNA from 1 species
UUCUUGUUUCUUUGAAAAUGGUAUCUUAAG